rnacentral:lncRNA from 1 species
GUUGGCAAGCUUGGCAGGAUAUGAACUUUUAACAAAAAUGGGGCACAGUUGUACUGCCAUGGCUUCUCGGUUUGAUCGGGGAGCAGAAAGACUUGGUGUUACGGAAUAGAACAAUGCAGAUCCAGCCUGGAAAUAUGCCUAUUUUAAAAGAACCGCCAAGCAAGCAAGCAAGCAAGCAAUCUAAAAGAGAGGUGGAAAGAAUGUAAGACCCAGAGAAUGAGGAGUGCUGUGAAAUGCUGUCUCUGGGGCAUGACAUGGCCAUUGCAUCCAUGAGCUCCUUGCAGCUGUAACUGCCUGCACAAGAUCAAGUCAGCAUUCCAACAGCUAUGGCCUGGCAGCAUAAAGACUAUAACAGUGACAAAUUCAAGAAGAGGAGGAAGAGGAAGAAAAAGAAGAGGAGGCAGAGAAAGAAAGGAGGAAGAAGAGGAAGAGGAAGAAAAGGUAGAAAGGAGAAGGGGACUCACUACAGCAGCCACCUUCUGAGUCAGCUCCUCCAGGGACGCAAGCUGAAACCCAGGUGUCUUCUAGCUGAGCGGUUGAACGCUGGCUGGGGUGGGGUGGGGGAGGCACACGACACGAACGGUCGGACGGACAGACACGCAGGUGUUCCUGCGACCAGCUCUGUGCUGUGUCCAGUGUGAGCAAAUGAAGGUCUAUAGGCAGAG